AGCUUCAGUAGCGUAUAUUAAAGUUGUUGCAGUUAAAAAGCUCGUAGUCGCAUUUCUGGCGAGAGGAUCCGGUCCGACCUUUUGGUGGGUUCUUGGGUCUCUUUCGCCAUCCUUGAGUGGUCCGUUCUGGCAUUAGGUUGUCGGAGCGUCAGCCGCUCAUCGUUUACUGUGAGAAAAUUAGAGUGUUCAAAGCAGGCUUAUGCCGUUGAAUAUAUUAGCAUGGAAUAAUAAGAUAGGACCUCGGUACUAUUUUGUUGGUUUGCGCACCAAGGUAAGGAUGAACAGGGACAGUUGGGGGUAUUUGUAUUUCGUUGUCAGAGGUGAAAUUCUUAGAUUUACGAAAGACAAACUACUGCGAAAGCAUUUACCAAGGAUGUUGUCA
rnacentral:rRNA from 1 species